rnacentral:rRNA from 1 species
CGACGUAGGUAACCUGCCUUGUAGCGGGGGAUAACUAUUGGAAACGAUAGCUAAUACCGCAUAACAAUGGAUGACACAUGUCAUUUAUUUGAAAGGGGCAAUUGCUCCACUACAAGAUGGACCUGCGUUGUAUUAGCUAGUAGGUGAGGUAACGGCUCACCUAGGCGACGAUACAUAGCCGACCUGAGAGGGCGAUCGGCCACACUGGGACUGAGACACGGCCCAG